rnacentral:rRNA from 1 species
UACGUAGGUGACCAGCGUUGUCCGGAUUUAUUGGGCGUAAAGAGCUCGUAGGCGGUCUGUCGCGUCGAAUGUGAAAACCCGGGGCUCAACUCCGGGCUUGCAUUCGAUACGGGCAGGCUAGAGUUCGGUAGGGGAGUCUGGAAUUCCUGGUGUAGCGGUGAAAUGCGCAGAUAUCAGGAGGAACACCGGUGGCGAAGGCGGGACUCUGGGCCGAUACUGACGCUGAGGAGCGAAAGCGUGGGGAGCGAACAGG